UAAAGAACAAUCAGACAAUUUCUGCGAUGAGUUGAAUCACGUUCCUUGUUCCCGACAAUAUUACGUCACAAGCAUUUAAAUCAGAUUAAAAUACCUAAUCUCAUGUCUCUGUGGCGCAAUUGGUAAGCGCGUUCGGCUGUUAACUGAAAGGUUGGUGGUUCAAGCCCACCCAGGGACGCUUGUAAUUACUGAUGGCAGUCAUUGUUGUUUGAGUGGUGCUCAAUCUAACUUCGUUGCAAGAACCACACUGGCGACAGCUUGACUUUUUAGCACUUGCAAGUGGAGGAAACGUUCGUCACUGUAGCAUACAGAGGUGUUCGAACGCAGUCUACCUUUGGUCUCUUGCAAGAGAGUAUUUGUUGAGAGAAAGCAGGGUGGGGGUAAGCAUGGACAGGUUUGGUGAACCCCCGGCCUCUGGUCAAAUCAGAGCAGGGGGUGUUUUACGAUGUUGGGGGAAACAGAACAACUUUGAUUGCUUCCUCUGCAGCUAGUCAACCAUGCAGGGGAACUUAGCACUUUGUUUUACUACGUUGUGAGAACAGGACAAGUUUGGUUAAUCAUUAUAGUCUACAUUUCAACACAAUCAUACAAUCAAAAUAAUCUGUCAACCC